ACCACAGCAUACGUACAUAAAGGCUAACUAGCCAGUUAGCUUUCUGUGUAAUGUAACAAAAACCCACCCAUCUUGUAGGAGUGAAGCUUAAUAUUUCACUCAAAAAUUAUGAUACAAA